ensembl:lncRNA
GGUUAAGGGAAUUGCGAUGGGGAGAUUAUCCUGGAUUCCUCAGAAGAGGUAGCUGAGGCGCAGAAGUUACGGCAGAUCUUUUUACAGGAGGAAAAAGAUUCUCUUUUGAGGAUGAAUGAAUUUCGCCAACUGAAGCUCUUCCUCCCACCCAGACACUGUCAGAUUGUCCUUCCUGACUCUUCUGUGUUGGGGCCUGCUCAUGUGACUACUCCCAGCCAACGAGUUCACCACUGGGUCACAGCAUUUAACUGCCAGUGCAAAGACAGUCCCUCCAGAGCUCUUCCCCACUGGCAAGCAUCCAGGGACCACUAGCUGGGUACCC